UCUGAAGUCCUGGCGUAGCUACAGAGAAGCCAGGGCCCUUCAGA
rfam:Ophiophagus hannah scaffold1509.1, whole genome shotgun sequence.